rnacentral:rRNA from 1 species
CAAUAGCGUAUAUUUAAGUUGUUGCAGUUAAAAAGCUCGUAGUUGGAUUUCGGGUAGGAUUUGCCGGUCCGUCUUUGAGAUGUGUACUGGUAAGUCCUAUCUUCUUGUCGGGGACCAGCUCCUGGGCUUCACUGUCCGGGACUGGGAGCCGACGAAGUUACUUUGAGUAAAUUAGAGUGUUCAAAGCAAGCCUACGCUCUGAAUAUAUUAGCAUGGAAUAACACGAUAGGACUCUGGCUUAUCUUGUUGGUCUGUGAGACCAGAGUAAUGAUUAAGAGGGACAGUCGGGGACAUUCGUAUUUCAUUGUCAGAGGUGAAAUUCUUAGAUUUAUGAAAGACGAACUUCUGCGAAAGCAUUUGUCAAGGAUGUUUUCAUUAA